UAGAUUUUGUUGGGGGUUUUUUUCCCUGAAGCCUUUCCUGGAUUGGAAGGGGCGUGGCCAAAGAUUUUUUCAGGGGCGUGGCUAGGGUGACACAAGUCAUUGUUUAUUGUACCAUCUCCAGUGAGUUUCAUGAACUAAAAUGCACACAGAAGCAAAUUUUCUCCUCGUUGCGAGGCGGCCAGAGAGUGACCUGGGGUGACUCUGAUCCAAGGAUGACCCUGGUCACUCUCUGGCCACCACUUAAAGUCCACCGCUGUGGACGAGGGCGUAGCCGCAUUUCAUCGAUUUGACUUUGUGGGGGGAUUACUGUCAGAAAAAUGGUGUCAAAUGAAAACUUCCCUGGCAGCCUCACUCAAAUGGGAACAGGCUUUUCUUUGUCAAGCCAGACUGUGAUCCAGCUUUUGUAUUGGAUCUCAUUAAAUUGCAACGGUUGUCUCGAUGUGAGACCACCCCCCCCCACCCCCCCUCCCUGUUUGUGUUGUCGAAUGCGUUUGUGCAAGCGCGCCCUCCAUUAGCAGCCGCUCCCGGCAGCAAGACGGGCCUGCCAGUCAGCCAAACUCAGGGCAAAAUUGACUUUAAUGAUGUUGGAGCUGAACCGCAAUUCUGCCAACUGACUUCCCGGUUACUUUUUUUUUUUUCUUCUGUGUUUGUCUGAAACGUGCAUGCAAGCGACAGUGUUUUUGUAAUCGAAAACCGCCAAUGCAAACAUGUUAACGACUCCAAUUUGAUUCAGGCGUGGACAGACGCUACAAGAUGUCACAUCCACUUACGGCGGGUUGUCACCCGCGUGACGUGACGUGACCCUUGCCCGGACCUGAUUUAAAAAAUAAAUAAAAUAAAAAAUUCUCAUCAUCGUCAUUCCAGUUCAUGGCCCGAGCUGACAGUCUUGAACGUGGCAAAUGCAGCCCUCACUUUUAACCCGCUGCGACCCAGGGCGAAAGCGGAUUUAGAGUGAAACUGCAAGUAAUUAAUGCCCUCCCCAAAAUAGCUUCCACAAGCUAGCAACAAAGCACUUUUGAGACGAGUCUAUGGCCUCACUCAAUGAAGCUCCUCUUCUUAAUUCAACAUAGUUCCUUGUCACAAAAAAUGCCACAAGAUAUCGCCAAAGCAUUUCUUUUGUUAGUUUUGUCAUGAGCAUAUAACAGCGAAUAGGUGAUUUUUUUUUUAAUUUGAGCAAAUAUUGGAGGAUAAUUUUCCCCCAGAAAUCUGCGAAUAGGUGAAUUUCACAAUGACAAAAAAUCCACUAAGUAAGGGUUCACGGCAUUAUUUUAUUUGUCACUCGUCAAUUAAUUACGCAAUGAAAAUGUGACGCCAAAGCAAGAAUAAUGGAAAGUACAUUUUUUUGUUGUGUUAAAGGACAAGGACACAUGGCCUCACUAACGUCAAUAAAUGGACCUAUUACUCAUAAAA